AUUACUACCUUCUCAGCUGGUGUUAGGUCAUGUUUGGAAACUCUCACAGCCACUACUCUGUUUAAUUGAUGUGUACUUACAGUUAAGGGAAGGAACAUGUAGCUUACAGUUGACCUUCCCUAACCUUAUGGGUGUUAUUGUGCAGAGUUGAUAACUCUAUCGGAUGCACCAAAGCUCAAUGUAUUACAAUUUAAAAGAGGCAGCAAGCAGAGAUUUAUGUAUAGGGUUUAGGAUUCAUCUAAUUACUUGAUGUAUAUAUAUAUAUAUAUAGUUUUCUAUUUUUCUGUUUUGCUAGCUUACAUUGCUCUGUUUCUAUAUGUUCCGUUCUUUUCACAGCCCUCCUUUUGUUUUCUGAUAUAGUGAGAUGGUUUUCUUCAAUAUCACUGUGUUAUACUGAUUUGUUCCCUUUCUUAUCUCUGUCUACCAGGUUGUUCUCUGUAGGGCCUUAUCUUCAUGUAUGGUUCCUAUUACGAGCUUAACUCGCUGGCACCAGCUGAAGAGCUUAUCCGUCCAAGAGACCAGGAGUGGAUGCGUUUUGGGAUCAUCCUGGUUGUGUAUUCUGAUCGGUUGAAUAUGGUCUAUAUGCAAUUAAAAAGUCUAUACUGCUUACCAGGACGUGGUAUGGAUGGAUGAAGGCAUAGAACAGGCGCAUCCCAGCCUUCUCUUACCCAAAUCUGUGAGGCAAGCAUCCUUCCAUCGUUUUAUGGAUUGAAGAAGGCGCACAAUGAGAUCGUCCACCCUUCUCUUACCCGGAUCAGCCAAGGGAGCAUCCUUCCAUGACAACGGCCAAAUCAUGUACCGAUGGCUUCUCGAGGGGCGUCGUGUACGUCUAGCUCAACACAUUCGCCUCAUGGGUUAUCGUGAUGGAGCUGAGAAGCGGCUGAGCCUCACUCUCCAAAGAUACAAGAGAUGUGGUGAACUGCGUAAUGUAUUAUUCAUAGCUCAUGAUUAUACUAUUUGGGGUCUGCUUGAUUAUGCACCGUUGGCCUGUUGUUAAACUUUUUUACUCAACUUAUGGCCUUUCU